GCUGUGAUGAAGUUCACUAUGGCAGCCACCUCCGGCUCCGACUGAGGGGAGGGCCCGUGAUAAGUUUCUGAGCAGGGGUUGCUGUUAGAACCAUUUCCUGGAAGUAAAAUAAAGCCACCCAAAGAGUCAAAUCCCCACGUGCGACACAGACGGUGCUCACAAAAUACCUGUGUGUUCCCCUACAUUUCCCAGCCUCCUUUGCAGUAUGACUGAGGUCAUGUGACUACUUUGACCAAUGGAAAGGUGAGCAGAAAUGACACGGCACUUCUGGGUUGAGAUUGUUAAGAGCAAGUGUGACUUCUCCAUGCUCUUUUCUGUCUGUGUGGCUGGAAGCAAAAAAAAAAAAUUCUAGAUAGAAACAGCCUCCUGGAUCCCUCUCUCACUGCGGAAGAAAGCCGCCAAGGAGAGUCACCUGUUCAUGUUGGACUUUGUGUGCAUGAAAAACAAACUUUCAUUGUGUUAAACCACUGAGAUUGGGAUGGAUAUUUGUUACUGCUGCAUCCUCUAAUCUAAUAUGUCAGAGGACUGCAGCCGCACCAUACCCUGCAGUUCUGAAGCCCUGCAGGGAGCCCCCUCGGCUUGUCCUGUGGUCCCUUUAGGAAGGUGGGCCUGGCUCAGAAGUUGCAUCCAGAGGAAACUGAGCUCCUGCACCUGCUCCACUUGAUGAAUGACAAACAGCAACAGAUGCGCAGAGCGGGGGGAGGUUGAAGGCUUUGUCUGCCUUUGCGGCCCACGCACAGAAAGCGGUUCCCCUGCCAACGACCAGGUGGCUUUGCCCAAAUAUGGAGAAACACUUUAGGCCAUUAGUUCUGGUUUGAGCUAAGCAGAAUAAACUAAUCUUCCCCUGGCCAAAUGGGAAUUGGCUGCCUGCAUCUCUGACGUUCACAGUCAAGGUCCUCUGAGUCCGCCUGUUUCACAAGUACCUGCUAAUGGAUUCAUUAGCUAUUUAUUUUUCCUUCUCUAAAAAUGUAAUUUGUAGCAAGGGGAAAUCUCUGGAAGGACAUGGUAAAUUAUUAAAAGCAGUGAUCUUUGAGUGGUGGGAUUAUGGGAGCUUUUUGCCCCCUCUGGGCUUUUUUCCAUAAUUGUUUUGUACACUGUGUGUAUAUGGAUAUUUUUUUUCCUGUGGUGAGACCCACAGAAGUUAUUUUCUUUAAGAGGUAAUUUAUCUUUCUACUAGCCAGCCUAUCUUGGGAUCCAUGGGUACUCACUCCAGUCAGUGCUGAGGGGCCACAUGGAUGCCCCCCCUGAGGCAAGCGUCU
rnacentral:lncRNA from 10 species